UUGGACUCAGGACUCAUGCCCAAUGCUCUAGGUCAAGAUUCAUUUCAUGGUUCAAUUUCAUUUGAGCCUCAAAUUCAACCCUAAUUUAGGAAAAAAUAACACCUACUACCCUUACGGAUUGGGCUCACAACUUGGCCCAUUGACACUAUACUUAUGACAAAAAUGAAUAUACAUCUAAAGCUAUUGUUCUUAUCUUUAACUAUAUGUCAUUGAAACCUUAUUACAGCAGCCCAAAAAGGAAAAUUAAAUUUCAGAAAAUGAAAGGCAUGUUACAUGAGAGACUAUUAAUAUAUAAACUAUUAAUGUUAGUAAGACUAGUCUUCUACAAUUUUAAUAACAUAACUAAUCGCUUGCCUCUUUUGGACAUGACUUGUCCAUCACAAGCUCGGAUUCCUCCAUGAAGGGCAUCGGAUCCAUAUAAUAUAGUUGGGUUCCAAAACUUCAGCUUCUAAACCUGUUGAUUUAACCAACCUGUGGCUAAAUCUGCAGGCCAAAGAUCAGGGUCAAACAAUCAAAGAAAGAGAAAAAUAAUGUUUUUAAAUAAAAUAAAUUAGAUUAAAGAAGAAAGAAAAGCAUAACUCAAUUAAAUCAUAAACAUCAUCACACCUAAAUGUUUUACUAUAAAGCAAAGCUAUUUGUACAGUUUUAUGAAUAUUUUCAUACUACUGAAGUGUACACAAAAUACAAGAAAAACUGAUAAAGAGAGUAAACACACAUUAAUUUCUACCAUUAAAUCAAACAACCAUACACAGAUAGACAUGAAGUAUAGAUCUAGACUGAGGAUUUCAUUUGAUGUAAAGAUUGGUUACAUACCUUGAAAGGGAAACAGCAAAAAUGACCAAAUAAAGGUCAAUAAAAAAACCAAGAAGUUUCAGAAACCAAACACAAUAGCAAACCCAGUACAAUGACAUUCAAAAUGCUAGCAAAAGGAACCAGCUUUUAAACCAGCAGUCCACAGCCAAUGAAACAAGAACUUAAAAGAAAUAUUGAAUCAGAUGUUUGCCAUAAUAGGAGGAAUUUUCAGAGGUAUUUCUUCGAAAUCAGUAGCAAGGAACAAAAGAAUCCUUGAAUCCUCAAAGUGUUUUUUUCCUUAACUUUUGGUAAUUAUUAGAAUAUUUAUCUAGGUGUUUUCAAGACCUUCUUUUGUGCAGAAAAAUGCUGAUGAUUGUUUGUGUAAGUAUGAGUGAAUACUUUCUUUAUAAAGAGUGCACAAAGAGCAUCCAAUAAAGGAGUAUUCUGAC
rnacentral:lncRNA from 1 species